AUUGAACGCUGGCGGCAUGCUUUACACAUGCAAGUCGAACGGUAACAGGCCUUCGGGUGCUGACGAGUGGCGAACGGGUGAGUAAUGCAUCGGAACGUGCCCAGAGGUGGGGGAUAACGCAGCGAAAGCUGUGCUAAUACCGCAUGUGAUCUGAGGAUGAAAGCGGGGGACCAGGCAGACAUGUUUGGCCUCGCGCCUUUGGAGCGGCCGAUGUCAGAUUAGGUAGUUGGUGGGGUAAAGGCCUACCAAGCCGACGAUCUGUAGCUGGUCUGAGAGGACGACCAGCCACACUGGGACUGAGACACGGCCCAGACUCCUACGGGAGGCAGCAGUGGGGAAUUUUGGACAAUGGGCGCAAGCCUGAUCCAGCAGUGCCGCGUGCAGGAAGAAGGCCUUCGGGUUGUAAACCACUUUUGUACGGAACAAAGAGGCUCUGGCUAAUACCUGGGGCUGAUGACGGUACCGGAAGAAUAAGCACCGGCUAACUACGUG
rnacentral:rRNA from 1 species